AUACUUAUCUGGCAGGAGAAAUACCAUGAUCACUAAGAUAGUUUUUCUCAGCGUGAGAUUUAACCAUUGCACUCGGGAUGUGUUGACCUCUGCGAUCUCCCUCAGUGUGGAAAACUGGGUUGCGUAAUUUGUGAUAGCGUGGAACUGUGUUCGUACAUUCCCCUG
rfam:Nomascus leucogenys chromosome 12, whole genome shotgun sequence.